rnacentral:rRNA from 1 species
UGGACGUUACUCGCAGAAUAAGCACCGGCUAACUCUGUGCCAGCAGCCGCGGUAAUACAGAGGGUGCAAGCGUUAAUCGGAUUUACUGGGCGUAAAGCGCGCGUAGGUGGCCAAUUAAGUCAAAUGUGAAAUCCCCGAGCUUAACUUGGGAAUUGCAUUCGAUACUGGUUGGCUAGAGUAUGGGAGAGGAUGGUAGAAUUCCAGGUGUAGCGGUGAAAUGCGUAGAGAUCUGGAGGAAUACCGAUGGCGAAGGCAGCCAUCUGGCCUAAUACUGACACUGAGGUGCGAAAGCAUGGGGAGCAAACAGGAUUAGAUACCCUGGUAGUCCAUGCCGUAAACGAUGUCUACUAGCCGUUGGGGCCUUUGAGGCUUUAGUGGCGCAGCUAACGCGAUAAGUAGACCGCCUGGGGAGUACGGUCGCAAGACUAGAACUC